UAUCUGGGGUCUGAUCCCUCCGUGUUCGCCUCCAAUCCACACACAACGCCUGUCUAAUCCUGCGUGUCUUCGCAUAAAGUAUUUGCUCAUCCUUAAACCCAGGGCAUAUCGGCUUGUUCUUAUUACCAAUCCUGAAAGCCACCACUCCAGCAUAGCUUUUUUUUUUUUUUUAAAGUGUGUGUUUAAUAAUAAUAUUAUGCAUGAUGUUUUUUUAAAAUAUUUUUUAAUUAAAAAUACAAGUAUACAGGGAGAACAAACAGGUACAAGACUUUUGGCGGUCAGUUUGUGAGUUUUGCCUUUCAUUCUUGCUUUUCCCCCCUCGGUUUAACCUAUAGCUAGUGGGACUCUCCUAUAUAGCUUCACAAUGAUUUAUUCCGGGUCAGGGUCGGUCCAUUGAUACUCAUGGAAAGGUCGAUCUGAUCAAGACCAUCAGUCUGCAUUGGCGGAUGCGGCAUCAUCAAGAUUCACAAACUUUAAGGCUUGAGUGAGAGGGGCGGUUUACGGUCACCUCCUUUAGUCCAAAGGGUCCUUUUUUAUGGGAAUCUUGAUGAUGCUGCAUCGGCGAAUAUGUGACUAUUCUUCUCUACUGUUGCAUGCCAUAUAUGUCCAGCAAGCUCUUCGAUUUGAUCAAAGGUGGAGUGUAAGUUCAUUUUCAAGCAAAAACCAUCAAGGUAAUAUAUAUUUCCUUAACAUAUCUCAAGCUGCUUGUUGAAUGAAUAAAUUGUGUAGAUUUAUCAUGCCCUUAAGUGAUUUUCACCUGCACAACCUGCUUGCUUAUCGUUGCCAUCCAAGUGAGACUUCAUAAGCCGGUUUUGCUACAGAAAAAUUUUAUAUUGGAACUGAUGAAAGAUAAAAAAAACAUCAUCAGAGCCAGGUUUCUUUCUUCAAUUUCUUGGCAUGGUUUUCACUUUUAAUUAGUUCUCAGAGAAAUAUCACUGAAUAUAUAGUCAUAUAGAGAUCAUAUGAUUAUCCAAAACUCUUGUAACGUUUAAUGUUUUAAUAGAAUGAUUACUCUCCACUUUUAUGGCAUCAAAACUGCACCCAGAAACGUUAUGUAGAAGGUUAAUUUUCCCUCUACCUUAUAAUAAGCUCUUUCUUUCUUUCUUGGAUUCAGAGGAGAGCAUUUAGCUCGAUGAUCAUUUUAUUUUUCUUUUUAAAAUAUUGUUUUCAGGUUAUGUUUAUCCAAUCUAGUUUUUGCUCUGUUCUCAUCUCCCAUAAUUUGGUGAUUUACUCGAGUGUUUAUCUGCUGCAUUUCAACGGAAGUGUGCUGGUUCUCCUUCUUUGGCUGCUGGUCUGGGAUUGUUCGGUGGUCUAUCAGCUUCAUUUGGUUGUGGCAACAUUUUUUCAGUUUAUUGUUCGGUAUCAGUACAAUGAAGAACAGAGGGAGUGGUGUAGUCAACAGGUUUUAUGUUUGUUUUCUAGAGAUUACUAGUUCGAGUUUUAUAAAUUUUAGAAUUAUUAAAGGCUAGCAUGCUUGUUAAUUUCAAAAUUUAUAGAAUUAAUUAAAAUAUACACAAACUUACCCC